rnacentral:lncRNA from 1 species
UGCCGCUAGGGGGCGCUGUGUGGCAUUGGGACCUAUGGGGCAUAAUGCAGCCCUACGGCAUGCAGUGUGAGAAGGGGGGCAAUGGGGGGCAGUGGGGGGCAGUGGGACCUAUGGGGUACAAUACAGCCCUAUGGGGUGGGAGGUGGCCGCUAGGGGGCGCUGUGGGGCAUUUGGAUCUAUGGGGUGGAGGACUGCCGCUAGGGGGCGCUGUGGGGCAUUGGGAUCUAUGGGGUGGAGGACUGCCGCUAGGGGGCGCUGUGGGGCAUUGGGAUCUAUGGGGUGGAGGACUGCCGCUAGGGGGCGCUGUGGGGCAGUGGGACCUAUGGGGUACAGUGCAGCCCUACGGCAUGCAGGGUGAGAAGGGGGGCCG